CAGUUCGGAUUGCAGUCUGCAACUCGAGUGCAUGAAGCUGGAAUCGCUAGUAAUCGCGGAUCAGAAUGCCGCGGUGAAUACGUUCCCGGGUCUUGUACACACCGCCCGUCACACCAUGGGAGUUGGAAGCACCCGAAGUCGAUGACCUAACCGCGAGGGAGGAGUCGCCGAAGGUGAAGCCAGUGACUGGGGUGAAGUCGUAACAAGGUAAC
rnacentral:rRNA from 1 species